UGGCUAGUCUACGAACUGUCAGAAGCAACUUCACAAUUCUCGCCAAUGUCACGACUCCCACCAACAAGAGGUCACCAGUGACCAGCCAACCCACGGUUCCCCCAGCAACGCUCUCAGAUGAGACAUACCAGCAGCUGGCCCGGGAGACUCUGGAGGAGCUUGACUGGUGUAUGGACCAGCUGGAGACCAUUCAGACCCACCGCUCUGUUAGCGAAAUGGCAUCC